UACGUAGGGUGCAAGCGUUAAUCGGAAUUACUGGGCGUAAAGCGUGCGCAGGCGGCUAUGCAAGACAGAUGUGAAAUCCCCGGGCUCAACCUGGGAACUGCAUUUGUGACUGCAUGGCUAGAGUACGGCAGAGGGGGAUGGAAUUCCGCGUGUAGCAGUGAAAUGCGUAGAUAUGCGGAGGAACACCGAUGGCGAAGGCAAUCCCCUGGGCCUGUACUGACGCUCCAUGCACGAAAGCGUGGGGAGCAAACAGG
rnacentral:rRNA from 1 species